rfam:Syntrophobacter fumaroxidans MPOB, complete genome.
ACCUGUAAAGGGCAAACCAUCCGAAAGGGUGGGACGCAAAGCCGCUGGCCUAAGUCCCCCGCGUGGGAUAUGGCAGCAGGGUUGCCAGG